rnacentral:rRNA from 1 species
UACGUAGGGGGCUAGCGUUGUCCGGAAUCAUUGGGCGUAAAGAGCGUGUAGGCGGCCCGGUAAGUCCGCUGUGAAAGUCGGGGGCUCAACCCUCGAAUGCCGGUGGAUACUGUCGGGCUAGAGUGCGGAAGAGGCGAGUGGAAUUCCUGGUGUAGCGGUGAAAUGCGCAGAUAUCAGGAGGAACACCGAUGGCGAAGGCAGCUCACUGGGACGGUACUGACGCUGAGGCGCGAAAGCGUGGGGAGCAAACAGG